rnacentral:rRNA from 1 species
AUUGAACGCUGGCGGCAGGCCUAACACAUGCAAGUCGAACGAGUGGCGGCCGGGUGAGUAAUGUCUGAGAAACUGCCCGAUGGAGGGGGAUAACUACUGGAAACGGUAGCUAAUACCGCAUACCAUCGGAUGUGCCCAGAUGGGAUUAGAUAGUAGGUGGGGUAACGGCUCACCUAGGCGACAAGCCCUAGCUGGUCUGCGAGGAUGACCAGCCACCCUGGAACUGAGACACGGCCCAGAUUCCUACGGGAGGCAGCAGUGGGGAAUAGUUCACAAUGGGCGCAAGCCUGAUGCAGCCAUGCCGCGUGUAUGAAGAAGGAUUUCGGGGUGUAAAGUACUUUCAGCGAGGAGGCGUUACUCGCAGAAGAAGCAACGGCUAACUCCGUGCCAGCAGCCGCGGUAAUAC